UACGGGGGGGGCAAGCGUUGUUCGGAAUUACUGGGCGUAAAGGGCUCGUAGGCGGCCAACUAAGUCAGACGUGAAAUCCCCAGGCUCAACCUGGGAACUGCGUCUGAUACUGAUUGGCUUGAAUCCGGGAGAGGGAUGCAGAAUUCCGGGUGUAGCGGUGAAAUGCGUAGAUAUCUGGAGGAAUACCGGUGGCGAAGGCGGCCUUCUGGACAGUGACUGACGCUGAGACGCGAAAGCGUGGGGAGCAAACAGG
rnacentral:rRNA from 1 species